rnacentral:rRNA from 1 species
CGUCCGUCGUGAAGAGGGAAACAACCCAGACCGCCAGCUAAGGUCCCAAAGUCAUGGUUAAGUGGGAAACGAUGUGGGAAGGCCCAGACAGCCAGGAUGUUGGCUUAGAAGCAGCCAUCAUUUAAAGAAAGCGUAAUAGCUCACUGGUCGAGUCGGCCUGCGCGGAAGAUGUAACGGGGCUAAACCAUGCACCGAAGCUGCGGCAGCGACACUAUGUGUUGUUGGGUAGGGGAGCGUUCUGUAAGCCUGUGAAGGUGGCCUGUGAGGGUUGCUGGAGGUAUCAGAAGUGCGAAUGCUGACAUAAGUAACGAUAAAGCGGGUGAAAAGCCCGCUCGCCGGAAGACCAAGGGUUCCUGUCCAACGUUAAUCGGGGCAGGGUGAGUCGACCCCUAAGGCGAGGCCGAAAGGCGUAGUCGAUGGGAAACAGGUUAAUAUUCCUGUACUUGGUGUUACUGCGAAGGGGGGACGGAGAAGGCUAUGUUGGCCGGGCGACGGUUGUCCCGGUUUAAGCGUGUAGGCUGGUUUUCCAGGCAAAUCCGGAAAACCAAGGCUGAGGCGUGAUGACGAGGCACUACGGUGCUGAAGCGACAAAUGCCCUGCUUCCAGGAAAAGCCUCUAAGCAUCAGGUAACAUCAAAUCGUACCCCAAACCGACACAGGUGGUCAGGUAGAGAAUACCAAGGCGCUUGAGAGAACUCGGGUGAAGGAACUAGGCAAAAUGGUGCCGUAACUUCGGGAGAAGGCACGCUGAUAUGUAGGUGAAGCGACUUGCUCGUGGAGCUGAAAUCAGUCGAAGAUACCAGCUGGCUGCAACUGUUUAUUAAAAACACAGCACUGUGCAAACACGAAAGUGGACGUAUACGGUGUGACGCCUGCCCGGUGCCGGAAGGUUAAUUGAUGGGGUUAGCGGCAACGCGAAGCUCUUGAUCGAAGCCCCGGUAAACGGCGGCCGUAACUAUAACGGUCCUAAGGUAGCGAAAUUCCUUGUCGGGUAAGUUCCGACCUGCACGAAUGGCGUAAUGAUGGCCAGGCUGUCUCCACCCGAGACUCAGUGAAAUUGAACUCGCUGUGAAGAUGCAGUGUACCCGCGGCAAGACGGAAAGACCCCGUGAACCUUUACUAUAGCUUGACACUGAACAUUGAGCCUUGAUGUGUAGGAUAGGUGGGAGGCUUUGAAGUGUGGACGCCAGUCUGCAUGGAGCCGACCUUGAAAUACCACCCUUUAAUGUUUGAUGUUCUAACGUUGGCCCGUAAUCCGGGUUGCGGACAGUGUCUGGUGGGUAGUUUGACUGGGGCGGUCUCCUCCUAAAGAGUAACGGAGGAGCACGAAGGUUGGCUAAUCCUGGUCGGACAUCAGGAGGUUAGUGCAAUGGCAUAAGCCAGCUUGACUGCGAGCGUGACGGCGCGAGCAGGUGCGAAAGCAGGUCAUAGUGAUCCGGUGGUUCUGAAUGGAAGGGCCAUCGCUCAACGGAUAAAAGGUACUCCGGGGAUAACAGGCUGAUACCGCCCAAGAGUUCAUAUCGACGGCGGUGUUUGGCACCUCGAUGUCGGCUCAUCACAUCCUGGGGCUGAAGUAGGUCCCAAGGGUAUGGCUGUUCGCCAUUUAAAGUGGUACGCGAGCUGGGUUUAGAACGUCGUGAGACAGUUCGGUCCCUAUCUGCCGUGGGCGCUGGAGAACUGAGGGGGGCUGCUCCUAGUACGAGAGGACCGGAGUGGACGCAUCACUGGUGUUCGGGUUGUCAUGCCAAUGGCACUGCCCGGUAGCUAAAUGCGGAAGAGAUAAGUGCUGAAAGCAUCUAAGCACGAAACUUGCCCCGAGAUG